rnacentral:rRNA from 1 species
GAUGAACGCUGGCGGCGUGCCUAAUACAUGCAAGUCGAGCGAAUGGAUUGAGAGCUUGCUCUUAUGAAGUUAGCGGCGGACGGGUGAGUAACACGUGGGUAACCUGCCCAUAAGACUGGGAUAACUCCGGGAAACCGGGGCUAAUACCGGAUAACAUUUUGAACCGCAUGGGUCGAAAUUGAAAGGCGGCUGCGGCUGUCACUUAUGGAUGGACCCGCGUCGCAUUAGCUAGUUGGUGAGGUAACGGCUCACCAAGGCAACGAUGCGUAGCCGACCUGAGAGGGUGAUCGGCCACACUGGGACUGAGACACGGCCCAGACUCCUACGGGAGGCAGCAGUAGGGAAUCUUCCGCAAUGGACGAAAGUCUGACGGAGCAACGCCGCGUGAGUGAUGAAGGCUUUCGGGUCGUAAAACUCUGUUGUUAGGGAAGAACAAGUGCUAGUUGAAUAAGCUGGCACCUUGACGGUACCUAACCAGAAAGCCACGGCUAACUACGUGCCAGCCGCCGCCGUAA